AAAGGGCGACUCUCACAAGACCCAAGUCCUCCUAGAGCACAGGAAAGUGUCGCUUCAGGUCGAAGAAGGGAGAGAAAGCAGCUUUCCGCAUCUGCAUGGUUGUCUAGUGGCUAGGAUUCGGUGCUGAAAGCGCCACGGCCCGGGUUCGAUUCCCGGUCAGGGAAUUGUUUUGCACUGGCCGCCCUCCCGCAGAAAUCUUCCUUUACCACGCUGUCAGCCGGCCUGCUCCAAGGGCCAGAUGUAGAACAGCCUCCGCAGCGAGGGGCAAACCCGGGCAAAGGAGGGCAAGUCGUGGUGGGCCACCUCUCACGUUUAUCUCCGUGUCUGUCAUCCGCAGAAGCGGCUUUAGAGAGCGACUGAGCGUCUCGCUCAGGUGUACACAGCCGUGCAGAGAGGCCAGUCCCCGUGGAGCUGCACUUAAUAAGCGCACCCUCUUUGCCGUCGCCGCCCCAGAGGUGCCUAUCGGGCUGAGCUGUGAAUAACUAAGAGAGAGGCCAAGCCAAGUCAUGGCGUUUGUGCGUGCCCUGGACGUGGGCACCGGUCAGUCAGCGGAGCCUCCUCACCUCCGUUCGCAGCUAACAUGCUCGUUAGGCCUUCGGAAGAGGCGACCGGAGGCGAUGUUCGCUGACCCAACAAAGACAGCAGGUGGAGUAGGCACAAACGGAAAACUGUUGCCAGUGCCCUAAGCAGAAUGCAGGUGUAAAAAUCAGCACUAGGACGUCAAAGCGAUGGUACCACAGUCAAAUCCCACAAUGUCUACACUCUACCAAGCACUUGCGCACGCUCCCCCUUUUCCAUUCAGUAUUCCCAAGAGGGGUUUGGAAGAACCCCGCGUCCACUGUAAGCUCAGGGGAGAGCGGGAGCCAGGGAGGUGAAGUGCACAGACUGGACAGAGGCGGCGGGCAGAACCGCGGGGGUGAGAGGGCGCGUGGUUGCGGGGCGGGAGCCACUGCUGAAAGGCGGCCUGGGUUGUCGUGUGGGGUGACUGUCGGUGGAAUCUUUGGCAGAGAGUGGUUUGGAAGAAUGGCGAAGGGGGCAGUGGGUAGGGUGGUGAACCUGAGCGUCCGACCAGGGCGAGGACGCUGUGCUGUCCCUGCAGGGCAUGCGCUCAUUCCCACUUACCUGGCAGGAAAGAGACCGUGGUCACGAAGGGGGUUCUCCCAGAGUGAAGCUUCUUCAUCGCACUCUAGAGUUGCUGAUCUCUGUGAUUUCUUCAAUGUGGGAAACGGUGUUUGUGCUAGAAGAGGGCUGCGCUCUCUACCUAACAUAAACGGGGUUCAAAACUGACAUCGCCUCACGCCUACCCGAAAACGUUUACGUGGCUUCCUUGUCUCUUUGUUUUUUCUGUCCUAAAGUCGCCUUAUCCUCACACCCCCUCAUGUUUUUCUUCCACACUCGAGAGUGUCUCUCCGUCUCAUUAAAAGCCCCACCAAAUAUUUGAAAUAUCUCAACCAGAAAGGCUGCAAUGAAUACAGUAUUUCAUUUGUGGAAGCUACAGACCAGCUAGGUUGAGAGUUGCUUGAUAUUUUCUGCUAAACCGUGAGGCAUAGAGCACUUGGAAGGUUUCUCUUUGGGCCUUUGUUUGUGUACUAUUGGGUUUCCUUCUUUUCCCCAGACCGUAUGGCGCUGUGGGGCCAGCGGUAAACCCUGCUUUCUGGCUGCAGAUAAAGGCCGCAGCUGGUGCAGGAAUUAAAAGCAAACCAAAAGACUCGUGGGUUCGCCCCAGUGGGUCCAAGAUAGAGUCUGACUGUACCAGGAUUCAGAUUAGAACAGAGGUUGCUGCAGGCACAAGGCAGGGUACUAACCACUAUAGAAUCCCAAUGCGCCCCACACCUACUGCCCGUCGUUUUGCUUCCCCACCCCUCUUUUAUUUAUUUAUGCAUUUUUUUUGAGAGACAGAAUUUCGCUUUGUCGCCCAGGCUGGAGGGCAGUGGCGCGAUCUCGGCUCACUGCCACCUCUGCCUCUCAGGUUCAAGCGAUUCUCCUGCCUCAGCCUCCUGAGUAGCUGGGACUACAAGCGUCGCCACCACACCCAGCUAAUUUUUGUAUUUUUAGUAGAGACGGGCUUUCACCAUGUUGGCCCGGCUGGUCUCGAACUCCUGACUUCAAGUGAGUGAUCCACCCACCUCGGCCUCCCAAAGUGCUGGGAUUACAGGCGUGAGCCACUGCGCCCGGUCCCCCGAUUUUUUUUUUAAUGUAAAAACAUUUAUGCGAUUUUUACGUGUUUAUUCUUGGGCAGCUACAGGUUCUUGUGAUUUUCCCUCACGUCUUCUCCAGUCCAUUCUGAUACGUGUCCCAUCUUCUCUGCAUCCAGCCGCUGCCCUCUGCACCGGCAUCCUGGGCUGUCCCAUUGUCUCGUCCUGGUCUCCCCUGCUUCUUCUCCCUCCUUCUUUUCAGGUUUUCCCUUUUGACUCCCCUGCCUCUUUCCCGCUCCCGCCCCACCAACCCCAUCUACUGAAGCCGAGUUGAGUGAGGGGAUAGCAAGCGGAGUAGAUGAUUGCCUGAAGGCGGCGCAAAAAAACAGAAAGAGCUACCUACCAUGAGAGCCGUCGGGGCGUUCAGCUUCCCUUGGGCCCCCAGGUGGCUCAGGUCCGGGUCGGGGCCGGGGCGUUUCCGGGGGCUUCUAAAGCAGGCUAGGGGCAAGGUCGUCCUGGUUCCAGAAUCUCCCAACCUGCGGGUCUCCAACGAGACCAACACAAUUCACCGCUGUAAUCUCUCCGGUUUUCCAAGGCCUUGCACAGUCCUACUGUCUGGUGGGCUCUGAGGAUGGGAGGGUUGGGGAAUGUUUGGUGAGUGCACCCUUCCUAUAGCGCCCAGAAGAAGGUACACUACGUGUCUCUGUGGCACAAUCGGUUAGAGCGUUCGGCUGUUAAUCUAAAG
rnacentral:lncRNA from 1 species